GGUUAAGCGACUAAGCGUACACGGUGGAUGCCCUGGCAGUCAGAGGCGAUGAAGGACGUGCUAAUCUGCGAAAAGCGUCGGUAAGGUGAUAUGAACCGUUAUAACCGGCGAUGUCCGAAUGGGGAAACCCAGUGUGAUUCGUCACACUAUCGUUAACUGAAUACAUAGGUUAACGAGGCGAACCGGGGGAACUGAAACAUCUAAGUACCCCGAGGAAAAGAAAUCAACCGAGAUUCCCCCAGUAGCGGCGAGCGAACGGGGAGCAGCCCAGAGUCUGAAUCAGCUUGUGUGUUAGUGGAACGGUCUGGAAAGUCCGACGGUACAGGGUGAUAGUCCCGUACACCAAAAUGCACAGGUUGUGAACUCGAAGAGUAGGGCGGGACACGUGGUAUCCUGUCUGAAUAUGGGGGGACCAUCCUCCAAGGCUAAAUACUCCUGACUGACCGAUAGUGAACCAGUACCGUGAGGGAAAGGCGAAAAGAACCCCGGCGAGGGGAGUGAAAAAGAACCUGAAACCGUGUACGUACAAGCAGUGGGAGCACCUUCGGGUGUGACUGCGUACCUUUUGUAUAAUGGGUCAGCGACUUAUAUUCUGUAGCAAGGUUAACCGUAUAGGGGAGCCGCAGGGAAACCGAGUCUUAACUGGGCGUUAAGUUGCAGGGUAUAGACCCGAAACCCGGUGAUCUAGCCAUGGGCAGGUUGAAGGUUGGGUAACACUAACUGGAGGACCGAACCGACUAAUGUUGAAAAAUUAGCGGAUGACUUGUGGCUGGGGGUGAAAGGCCAAUCAAACCGGGAGAUAGCUGGUUCUCCCCGAAAGCUAUUUAGGUAGCGCCUCGUGAAUUCAUCUUCGGGGGUAGAGCACUGUUUCGGCUAGGGGGUCAUCCCGACUUACCAACCCGAUGCAAACUACGAAUACCGAAGAAUGUUAUCACGGGAGACACACGGCGGGUGCUAACGUCCGUCGUGAAGAGGGAAACAACCCAGACCGCCAGCUAAGGUCCCAAAGUCAUGGUUAAGUGGGAAACGAUGUGGGAAGGCACAGACAGCCAGGAUGUUGGCUUAGAAGCAGCCAUCAUUUAAAGAAAGCGUAAUAGCUCACUGGUCGAGUCGGCCUGCGCGGAAGAUGUAACGGGGCUAAACCAUGCACCGAAGCUGCGGCAGCGACACUAUGUGUUGUUGGGUAGGGGAGCGUUCUGUAAGCCUGCGAAGGUGUGCUGUGAGGCAUGCUGGAGGUAUCAGAAGUGCGAAUGCUGACAUAAGUAACGAUAAAGCGGGUGAAAAGCCCGCUCGCCGGAAGACCAAGGGUUCCUGUCCAACGUUAAUCGGGGCAGGGUGAGUCGACCCCUAAGGCGAGGCCGAAAGGCGUAGUCGAUGGGAAACAGGUUAAUAUUCCUGUACUUGGUGUUACUGCGAAGGGGGGACGGAGAAGGCUAUGUUAGCCGGGCGACGGUUGUCCCGGUUUAAGCAUGUAGGCUGGUUAUCCAGGCAAAUCCGGAUAAUCAAGGCUGAGGUGUGAUGACGAGGCACUACGGUGCUGAAGUAACAAAUGCCCUGCUUCCAGGAAAAGCCUCUAAGCAUCAGGUAACAUCAAAUCGUACCCCAAACCGACACAGGUGGUCAGGUAGAGAAUACCAAGGCGCUUGAGAGAACUCGGGUGAAGGAACUAGGCAAAAUGGUGCCGUAACUUCGGGAGAAGGCACGCUGGUGUGUAGGUGAAGUCCCUGCGGAUGGAGCUGAGACCAGUCGAAGAUACCAGCUGGCUGCAACUGUUUAUUAAAAACACAGCACUGUGCAAACACGAAAGUGGACGUAUACGGUGUGACGCCUGCCCGGUGCCGGAAGGUUAAUUGAUGGGGUUAUCCGUAAGGAGAAGCUCUUGAUCGAAGCCCCGGUAAACGGCGGCCGUAACUAUAACGGUCCUAAGGUAGCGAAAUUCCUUGUCGGGUAAGUUCCGACCUGCACGAAUGGCGUAAUGAUGGCCAGGCUGUCUCCACCCGAGACUCAGUGAAAUUGAACUCGCUGUGAAGAUGCAGUGUACCCGCGGCAAGACGGAAAGACCCCGUGAACCUUUACUAUAGCUUGACACUGAACAUUGAGCCUUGAUGUGUAGGAUAGGUGGGAGGCUUUGAAGCGUGGACGCCAGUCUGCGUGGAGCCAACCUUGAAAUACCACCCUUUAAUGUUUGAUGUUCUAACGUUGGCCCCUUACCGGGGUUGCGGACAGUGUCUGGUGGGUAGUUUGACUGGGGCGGUCUCCUCCCAAAGCGUAACGGAGGAGCACGAAGGUUAGCUAAUCCUGGUCGGACAUCAGGAGGUUAGUGCAAUGGCAUAAGCUAGCUUGACUGCGAGCGUGACGGCGCGAGCAGGUGCGAAAGCAGGUCAUAGUGAUCCGGUGGUUCUGAAUGGAAGGGCCAUCGCUCAACGGAUAAAAGGUACUCCGGGGAUAACAGGCUGAUACCGCCCAAGAGUUCAUAUCGACGGCGGUGUUUGGCACCUCGAUGUCGGCUCAUCACAUCCUGGGGCUGAAGUAGGUCCCAAGGGUAUGGCUGUUCGCCAUUUAAAGUGGUACGCGAGCUGGGUUUAGAACGUCGUGAGACAGUUCGGUCCCUAUCUGCCGUGGGCGCUGGAGAAUUGAGGGGGGCUGCUCCUAGUACGAGAGGACCGGAGUGGACGCAUCACUGGUGUUCGGGUUGUCAUGCCAAUGGCACUGCCCGGUAGCUAAAUGCGGAAGAGAUAAGUGCUGAAAGCAUCUAAGCACGAAACUUGCCCCGAGAUGAGUUCUCCCUGAGACUUUAAGUCUCCUGAAGGAACGUUAAAGACGAUGACGUUGAUAGGCCGGGUGUGUAAGCGCAGCGAUGCGUUGAGCUAACCGGUACUAAUGAACCGUGAGGCUUAACCUU
rnacentral:rRNA from 1 species